AGUCCUGUAGCUCAGUUGGGAGAGCGCUUGUCUUACAAACAAGAUGUCACAGGUUCAAUCCCUGUCAGGACUA
rnacentral:tRNA from 3 species